UGGGGAAUUUUGGACAAUGGGCGAAAGCAUGAUCCAGCAAUGCCGCGUGCUGGAAGAAGGCCCUCGGGUUGUAAACUGCUUUUGUACGGAACGAAACGGUCUGCCCUAAUACGGCGGGCUAAGGACGGUACCGUAAGAAUAAGCACCGGCUAACUACGUGCCAGCAGCCGCGGUAAUACGUAGGGUGCGAGCGUUAAUCGGAAUUACUGGGCGUAAAGCGUGCGCAGGCGGUUAUGCAAGACAGAUGUGAAAUCCCCGGGCUCAACCUGGGAACUGCCUUUGUGACUGCAAGGCUGGAGUGCGGCAGAGGGGGAUGGAAUUCCGCGUGUGUCAGUGAAAUGCGUAGAUAUGCGAAGGAACACCGAUGGCGAAGGCAAUCCCCUGGGCCUGCACGGACGCUCACGCCCGAAGGCGUGGGGGGCGAAC
rnacentral:rRNA from 1 species